GAGGGUACAGCUCAGUGGUAGAGGGCGUGCCUUACGUGCACAAGAUCCUGGGUUCAAUCCCCAGUACUACCA
rnacentral:tRNA from 1 species